GGAGAUGUAGCUCAGUUGGUAGGGUACUUGUCUGGCAUGCAUGAGGUCCUGGGUUUGAUCCCUAGCACUGCA
rnacentral:tRNA from 1 species